GAUGAAGAACGUAGCGAAAUGCGAUAAGUAAUGUGAAUUGCAGAAUUCAGUGAAUCAUCGAAUCUUUGAACGCACAUUGCGCCCGCCAGUAUUCUGGCGGGCAUGCCUGUUCGAGCGUCAUUUCAACCAUCAAGCCCUGCUUGCGUUGGGGUCCUGCGGCUGCCCGCAGGCCCUGAAAACCAGUGGCGGGCUCGCUAGUCACACCGAGCGCAGUAAUACAUCUCGCUUUGGGCGUGCGGCGGGUUCUUGCCGUUAAACACCCCCUUUUUACCAAGGUUGAACUCGGAUCAGGUAGGAAUACCCGCUGAACUUAAGCAUAUCAAUAAGCGGAGGA
rnacentral:misc_RNA from 1 species